UACGUAGGGUGCAAGCGUUGUCCGGAAUCAUUGGGCGUAAAGCGCGUGUAGGCGGCCAGAUAAGUCCGCUGUGAAAACUCGAGGCUCAACUUCGAGCUGUCGGUGGAAACUAUUUGGCUAGAGUCCGGAAGAGGAGAGUGGAAUUCCUGGUGUAGCGGUGAAAUGCGCAGAUAUCAGGAAGAACACCCGUGGCGAAGGCGGCUCUCUGGUACGGAACUGACGCUGAGACGCGAAAGCGUGGGUAGCAAACAGG
rnacentral:rRNA from 1 species